GCGACAACUACCGCGGCGGCGGCGGCGGCAACUGGGGCCAGCAGCAGCCGCAGCCCUGGUCCGGCGGCUACCAGCAGCAGUGGGGACAGCAGGGCUGGGGCGGCUACGGCCAGCAGUACGGCCAGCAAUAUGGUCAGCAGGCCGGCUACGGCCAGCAGUACGGCCAACAGGCCGGCUACGGCCAGCAGUACGGCCAGAGCGGCUACGGCCAGCAGUACGGACAGCAGGGCGGCUACGGCCAGCAGGGCUACGGCCAAUACUACCAGGGCUACGGUCAGGGCUACGGCCAGUCCGGGUCGUACGGCUCGCAGGGCGGCGCCGGCGGCAACUACGGCCGCUCCUAGGCGGCCACAGAUGGCACCACCUGCGCGUACAUUUCCAUCGCAUCUCCGCACGGGCCGCGGGCGCGCCGCCGCCCGACAGCGAGGCGUCAGUCGGAAGGUCACGGCCGACCCCCGCCCGAGCGGCGCGCGCGCGUGCGGACCCGGUUCUUGUGUGUAACCAAGCGCGGCGGCGAACUCGGCGAGGUU